rfam:Triticum aestivum genome assembly, contig: Triticum_aestivum_CS42_TGACv1_scaffold_220601_3B
AUAAUACUCCCUCCGUCCGGAAUUACUUGUCAUAGAAAUGGAUAAAAAUGGAUGUAUCUAAAACUAAAAUAAGUGUAGAUGCAUCCAUAUCUCUGACAAGUAUUCCCGGAUGAAGGGAGUAGUUC